rnacentral:rRNA from 1 species
ACGGAGGGGGUUAGCGUUGUUCGGAAUUACUGGGCGUAAAGCGUACGUAGGCGGAUCGGAAAGUAUAGGGUGAAAUCCCUGGGCUCAACCCAGGAACUGCCUUAUAAACUCCCGGUCUUGAGUUCGAGAGAGGUGAGUGGAAUUCCGAGUGUAGAGGUGAAAUUCGUAGAUAUUCGGAGGAACACCAGUGGCGAAGGCGGCUCACUGGCUCGAUACUGACGCUGAGGUACGAAAGUGUGGGGAGCAAACAGG